CUAAGUGGCCAGCCGGAAACCCUCCAAAUUACCAAGUGACAGCAUAUGCUCGUCGUUGCCAACCUUGCUAUUAAUUGUAUGCUUGAGAAAAUAUACAGAAUAUUUUUAAAGUAAAAAAUUAUUAUUUAUAUAAAAUUUUAAUUUUAGUUAUAUAUGAUUGGAUAGUUUAAUCCAAUAUUUAUCUAUAUAAUUUAUUUAUUUUUGACCGCAUAAAUGAAAAUGAAUAAUAUGGAGAUUGAAGGCUGAAGAGAAGGCAUGUGAGGCUCAAAAGAUUAGAUAUUCAACUCAUAAAUUAUUUUUCUUUAUUUUAUAAUACCCUAUUUCAUAUAAUUAUUUUAUACUUUGAACUAUUAGGCAUAUUUUUGUAUCAAAUUAUAGAUAAUGUUAUAUACAAAUUAAACUAUUGAUCGUAUGAUGUUGAGAAUUUCAAGCGGCUCAUUUAGGGCUCGAGCUCGCUCGACUCGAAAUUAAGCUCGACUCGAAAUUAAGCUCGCUCGAGCUCGGCUCGAAUUAAUUUCAAACCAAACUUAAGCUUAUAUUUAGGCUUGAAAUUAAUUUCAAACCGAAUUUGAGCCAAGGUAAGCUCGCUCGAGCUCGGCUCGUUUCCACCCCUAUUUCCAACUACACUGUAUUUUUAAUUGUAUCCAACUAAACAUCCCUUAUUUUCAC
rnacentral:lncRNA from 1 species